CUAACACAAAAAUGUUGAGAUAUUUUGCUGUUUUUGGAUUAACCUGCAGGGACACAAAGCUUCAUGUCAAGUUUGUGAUGAUGGAGGAAUUCAUUACAACAGAGUAAUUAAUAUGCAGGAACAGAUUAUCUUCUUAUGUCAGCACAGUGUCAUCAACAACUUCCUUGAGACUGAAUGGCAUUUUUUUCACUAUUGGAAACAAGAAUAGCCACAACAGAGGCAGACUGGUGAAAAGGAUGAACCACAGAGGCUCAAGUAAGAAUUUUCAGAAACUACGCAAGAUGGAAGAAAAUGGUGACUUCUGACUGACUGCUGCACUGCGCUUGAUAUACUUGCUAACUUGCCUGCAGUUUUCUCUCAGCAAGUAAAACCAAUAAGGAAGAUAUUCCAUCUAAAAGAUGUUAAAGUAAUAAAAACUGAGUUAAAAAAAAUAAAUCACACAGCUUCUUCUUGCAGAAGUUGAGGACAGAACUGUAGAAGAGACACAGGUCAUCUAAAAAAUAAGCAAAGAGGAAGGAACUAACUUCCCCAUUCUGAAAUUCCAUGAUAUUCAGCAAUGUGAAUGAAUAAACAACUAUGAGACACAUCACAGAGGUGGGGAUUGGGCCACUGCUUGUCGAUGUAAGGCAACCAGGAGCCUGCACAUUCAUCUUACUAAUACCCAUAGAGCAACGAAUAUACAACCAAAGUAUCUUGCAAUUAUAUGCGUGUAAUAAGCUCCAUCGGUAUAAUCAGGAAAGAAACUUUUCAGAAACCACUAUAAAUGAUCAGAAAAUGGUUUUUUGAAGCACCUCACACACACAACUUCAUGAUGUACAUGAAAUAACAGUGCUAAAACUGAGAUAUUAAGAGUUGCACAGAGUUGAUUUCUCAUGCAGUAGUUCUAAAUCGUAAAGAGAAAGCUGAGAAAAAUGUGUUUUUCUUUCAAUGGGAAAGCAUCAUUUAAAGCAACUAUAUACCAGGAACUUGAAAGAGUAAGAAUCUGCUCUGAUCACUGGGUAAUGAUUGCAAUUAACAUUGUAUAGAAAAGCAAUAUACUAUUAAAAAUGUACUAUUGGGAAGAUAUAUUCUUGAAAAUACAUGUUGGAACAAUUAGAGCCUACUAAAACCUGAUCAACAAGACAGAAAACAGGCUUGCACUGACUUCUCCCAGAUCUGCUUGCAAGGCUUCUCAAGACCUUUAGGGCUAGCAUGGUGUGAAAGAACAUUUUUCCAACUUUGCAACAGUAAAUGUGUUGUUAACAGGCAAUUAGGAAACCACCUAAACAAAAAGUAAGGGAUAACUUUGAAAGAGGAGGCAUUAAUAUACGUCUGUGUGUGCCUGUCUUGCGAUGGACUUUGGAUGAUAUAAUGUCACAUUAUGCCAUCAGGUUAUUCAGUUCAAGCAUAAGAUUGUUAUAGGAAAAACAUACACCAUCUCUAGCAGUGCUUACACAAAAAAAUUUCAAACACACAUGAAAAAAAAUUUUGGUAUGCUUUUCAGCAUAACUAAGAAGUCUCUGCUUUAGAGAUGUGCUUGAUGUUAGAGAAUGUAGGUGGGAACAACAAGGUCUUUAUCCUAUCUUGUCUCUGUCACUUUGAAGAAAGCACUGAGUAUUGAAUAUUUUGGCUACUCUUCUCUGUGUCCUGAAUUUUGGCAUGAAGUUCAGUUUUGUAAAAACUGUUCUGGUGUUGAGGAUGCAGAUUCGUCCUCUUGAAUCUGUUUCAGCAGAGGACUAGAAAUAUAAGCUACUAAUAAUCCACAAUUGCAAACUGAACUUAUUGGAAUUAGGUAUUUGACUUAUUAAGGUGUAGUUAGUCUAUGGAUAGUAAUUCUUGUUGAUUUAAGCGUGCUUAUUUUAAUGAGAGAAAAAGCUGGAAAGUUGAAGGUGAGCGGCUGAUCACUCAGCAUGAAUGGCCUAAUGUGAAAACUAGGGAUGUGCCCAAAAUAUAGACCCUGUGAUGGAAUACUGUUAGCAGGUCUCUGCCUAUUCUGCUACAGUAAUCAAAUCCUUUCAGUGUUUAUGUUUGCUCAUUGGACAGGCAUUCUUGCUCACUUUAUA
ensembl:lncRNA